rnacentral:tRNA from 1 species
UCCCUGUUGGUUCAGUCAGUAAAGCGUCUGCCUGCAAUGUAGGAGACCCAGGUUCAAUCCCUGGGUUGGAAA